UGGGGAAUCUUGCACAAUGGGGGAAACCCUGAUGCAGCGACGCCGCGUGAGCGAUGAAGCCCUUCGGGGUGUAAAGCUCUUUCGGCAGGGAAGUAUCGGAGUAACUGCCGGUACCUUGACGGUACCUAACCAGAAAGCCACGGCUAACUAC
rnacentral:rRNA from 1 species